rnacentral:rRNA from 1 species
AGCAGCCGCGGUAAUACGGAGGGUGCGAGCGUUAAUCGGAAUUACUGGGCGUAAAGCGCAUGCAGGUGGUUUGUUAAGUCAGAUGUGAAAGCCCGGGGCUCAACCUCGGAAUUGCAUUUGAAACUGGCAAACUAGAGUACUGUAGAGGGGGUAGAAUUUCAGGUGUAGCGGUGAAAUGCGUAGAGAUCUGAAGGAAUACCGGUGGCGAAGGCGGCCCCCCUGGACAGAUACUGACACUCACGAUGCGAAAGCGUGGGGACGCAAACAGGAUUACGACUACCCUGGUAG